UCAGUCGUAUGCCUGGAAUUCCGCUAGUUCUGAACUAUUCGUGAUUGGCAAAAGUUCACUACUAGCAGAACUCGGAUAUACAACUGA
ensembl:miRNA